CAAUAGCGUAUAUUAAAGUUGUUGCAGUUAAAAAGCUCGUAGUUGGAUUUCGGGGCAGCCUGGCUGGUCCGCCGCAAGGCGAGUACUGGUCAGCCGCCCUUCCUCUCGAAAGCACCGACUGCUCUUCGUUGCAGUGGUCGGGUAGUUCGGGACGUUUACUUUGAAAAAAUUAGAGUGUUCAAGGCAGGCCUACGCCUGAAUACAUUAGCAUGGAAUAAUGGAAGAGGACCUCGGUCCUAUUUUGUUGGUUUCCAGGGCCGAAGUAAUGAUUAAGAGGGACAGUUGGGGGCAUUCGUAUUUAAUUGUCAGAGGUGAAAUUCUCGGAUUUAUGAAAGACGAACAACUGCGAAAGCAUUUGCCAAGGAUGUUUUCAUUAA
rnacentral:rRNA from 1 species